AGAGUUUGAUCAUGGCUCAGGAUGAACGCUGGCGGCGUGCCUAAUACAUGCAAGUCGAACGCUUUGUGCUUAAUUGAUAUGAUGAGCUUGCUCUGAUUUGAUUUUUUGAUUUCAAAGAGUGGCGAACGGGUGAGUAACACGUGGGUAACCUACCUCUUAGCAGGGGAUAACAUUUGGAAACAAGUGCUAAUACCGUAUAAUACCAACAACCGCAUGGUUGUUGGUUGAAAGAUGGUUCUGCUAUCACUAAGAGAUGGACCCGCGGUGCAUUAGCUAGUUGGUAAGGUAAUGGCUUACCAAGGCAAUGAUGCAUAGCCGAGUUGAGAGGCUGAUCGGCCACAAUGGGACUGAGACACGGCCCAUACUCCUACGGGAGGCAGCAGUAGGGAAUCUUCCACAAUGGGCGCAAGCCUGAUGGAGCAACGCCGCGUGUGUGAUGAAGAGUUUCGGCUCGUAAAACACUGUUAUAAGAGAAGAACGGCACUGAGAGUAACUGUUCAGUGUGUGACGGUAUCUUACCAGAAAGGAACGGCUAAAUACGUGCCAGCAGCCGCGGUAAUACGUAUGUUCCAAGCGUUAUCCGGAUUUAUUGGGCGUAAAGCGAGCGCAGACGGUUAUUUAAGUCUGAAGUGAAAGCCCUCAGCUCAACUGAGGAAUUGCUUUGGAAACUGGAUGACUUGAGUGCAGUAGAGGAAAGUGGAACUCCAUGUGUAGCGGUGAAAUGCGUAGAUAUAUGGAAGAACACCAGUGGCGAAGGCGGCUUUCUGGACUGUAACUGACGUUGAGGCCCGAAAGUGUGGGUAGCAAACAGGAUUAGAUACCCUGGUAGUCCACACCGUAAACGAUGAGUGCUAGAUGUUCGAGGGUUUCCGCCCUUGAGUGUCGCAGCU
rnacentral:rRNA from 1 species